UGGGACUGUCACAUUGCUGUUCUAUCUCCCUUCCCAACCAAAUAUGAGCAAAUCACCCCCAUUUAACCCUUCCUGUGCUGGUUCCCCAGUUGCAGGCUACAAGUCAGUCCUGCCUCAUUGUGCAAUCAGAGCUGACCACAGCUGCUGCCAGGGGACAAAACGUUCCCCAAGUCCCUCAGCUGUAGGGUUGCUCAAACUGCACCUGAGCAGCAUAAUGCCUGAGUUCUCACUCAAUUUAUUUGAGGAACUUAGAGCCACUGAGAAUUUAGGCCUUCGUUAGAAGAGAUUUUUAAUGUUCCUGGCAGCGUUAGCCUGAUGAAUUCAGCUGAAUGAAUUUAUCAUUUCAUUUAUCUACUGAAGAGGUGCAAAGCUUCUAGAAGAGCAGAGAAACCUGCUAGCCAGACUAUGAAAAUGUCUCAUAAACUGCAUUAUUACUUCCAACUUUAUUGUGUGAGGGCAAUUAUUUGGCUGCUUCUUCCACAUUUUCUCUUCUAUUUUAUGUAGUCUUACUAAAACGGAAACAAAGAACAACAAUCAAAUGUCGCAAGUAUUGUAGAAAGGAUUUAAUUUUGUAAUUGCAAUUUGAAUUGUGUAAGUUAAUGCAUUUCAAUGUACGCGAAGGGUUUUGCUAUUCUGAAGCCAAGCUCAAACAAUGUUAGUCACCUGUUGCAUUUACCAGUCCUUCAGCUAAGAGCAGUUAUGGGUCAUUCAGAAAUGUUUUGUUACAUUAGCUUUUUGCAGAAGCAGUAACAGAAGUCCGUUUCCCUAGCAAGAGAUCUGGUGUAUUAUGUUCUGCGUAUCUUAGUUAGAGAUGUAGUGAAGUUUAAUGUCAUUAUAAUCAAUAGCUUCAGAGAAACACAGCAAAAAAAAAUGUCUCAGAUGUAUGUCAUUAGUAAGGUGCAUUUGGAAAAUAUUGUAUAGGAAAAUAUUUUACUACUUAGUCACUUAGCACUUCAGUUUAUCUAAGAAAAAGUCUAAAAAAAUCUCUAAGAGAAUCGUUUCCACACAGUAAUAUUUGACAGGCAUUGCUUCCUCUUUAUCAAAGACUGUGGUAGAAAUGACUGUGUAGUUCUAUCACAAGCUUUAAAUUUAGUUUGGGUUUAUCAUUGUUGCAUCUAAUGAUCACAUCUGAUGAUGUGACAGACUUCCAUUAGACGUUAAAAGAAGUUUGUUAAUAUGGGAGCUUUUAAAACUAGAGAACUGCAAGAAUAGUUCUGUACUUCUGUGACAUGUAAAUAUUUUUCUGUAUACUAACAAAUUUAGAUGUAAUUAAAUUAAAA
rnacentral:lncRNA from 1 species